rnacentral:lncRNA from 1 species
CCGAUUCAUAGCUCCCAAAACAUAUAUUAGCUACCAAAACAAAUGAAAUCAUUAAUUGAUUUAACAAGCAGGUCAGAUUAGGUAUGUACUUAAGAACCCAUAACGCAAUAUCAUUAAAUAAAGUAGGACAAGUUUGUGAGAUUAGGGUUUGUACUUACAGGUAGACAGAGCUCAGAGAAUAUCACCAAUGCCUUGAAAGGGAGAGCGCAAUAUAAAACGACGGAGGAUGGAGAGCGAAAACUUUAAGAUUAGAAUUUGAGUUGAAGAGAGAGAGCGAAAUAUUUUCGAGGGAGGACGAAUUCUGCAAAUUUUAGUUCAUUGUCAAAUAUUUCAAAGGCCCGCAUUUUUAAACAACGAAGAAAACGAUAAAAAAAACACUGUUGAAGGUCACGACAUAGACAAUGGUUAUAACAUGUAUAGGGCCGUUGUACGAGUUUACUA